UACGGAGGGUGCGAGCGUUGUCCGGAAUCACUGGGCGUAAAGGGCGCGUAGGUGGCCUGUGGAAGUCUGCGGUGAAAGCCCGGCGCUCAACGCCGGGUCGGCCGUGGAUACUCUCGGGCUUGAGCUUACUAGAGGCAGAUGGAAUUCCGGGUGUAGCGGUGGAAUGCGUAGAGAUCCGGAAGAACACCGGUGGCGAAGGCGGUCUGCUGGGGUAAUGCUGACACUGAUGCGCGACAGCGUGGGGAGCAACAGGAGUUAGA
rnacentral:rRNA from 1 species